rnacentral:rRNA from 1 species
GAACGCUGGCGGCGUGCUUAACACCUGCAAGUCGAACGGUGAAGCUCCAGCUUGCUGGAGUGGAUCAGUGGCGAACGGGUGAGUAACACGUGAGCAACCUGCCCCUGACUCUGGAAUAAGCGCUGGAAACGGCGUCUAAUACUGGAUACGAGAAGGGUCCGCAUGGGCACUUUCUGGAAAGUUUUUCGGUUGGGGAUGGGCUCGCGGCCUAUCAGCUUGUUGGUGAGGUAAUGGCUCACCAAGGCGACGACGGGUAGCCGGCCUGAGAGGGCGACCGGCCACACUGGGACUGAGACACGGCCCAGACUCCUACGGGAGGCAGCAGUGGGGAAUAUUGCACAAUGGGCGAAAGCCUGAUGCAGCGACGCCGCGUGAGGGAUGACGGCCUUCGGGUUGUAAACCUCUUUCAGCAGGGAAGAAGCGAAAGUGACGGUACCUGCAGAAGAAGCACCGGCUAACUACGUG